GUUGGGUACGGUGGCACAUGCCUGUAAUCUCAGGGACUUGGAGGCUGAGGCAGGAGGAUCACAAGUUUGAGGCCAGCUUUGGCAAUUUAGUGAGGCCCUAAGCAACUUAGUGAGACCUUGCCUCAA
rnacentral:sRNA from 1 species